rnacentral:rRNA from 1 species
GGGCAUCCUCCUGGUACCAAAGCUUUAUGUGCUGAAAGAUGGUCUCGCGUCUGAUUAGCUAGUUGGUGAGGUAACGGCUCACCAAGGCGACGAUCAGUAGCCGGUCUGAGAGGAUGAACGGCCACAUUGGGACUGAGAUACGGCCCAGACUCCUACGGGAGGCAGCAGUGGGGAAUAUUGGGCAAUAAGGGAAACCCUGACCCAGCAACGCCGCGUGAAGGAAGAAAGGGUUCGGGUUGUAAACUUCUUUACCAG